UUCCGGUUGAUCCUGCCGGACCCGACUGCUAUCAGAGUGGGACUAAGCCAUGCGAGUCAACAUAGCAAUAUGUGGCAUACGGCUCAGUAACACGUAGUCAACAUGCCCAGGGGACGUGGAUAACCUCGGGAAACUGAGGAUAAACCGCGAUAAGUCACUACUUCUGGAACGGGUAAUGACUCAAAUCUAUAUGGCCCCUGGAUUGGACUGCGGCCGAUCAGGCUGUUGGUGAGGUAAUGGCCCACCAAACCUGUAACCGGUACGGGCUCUGAGAGGAGGAGCCCGGAGAUGGGCACUGAGACAAGGGCCCAGGCCCUAUGGGGCGCAGCAGGCGCGAAACCUCUGCAAUAGGCGAAAGCCUGACAGGGUUACUCUGAGUGAUUUCCGUUAAGGAGAUCUUUUGGCACCUCUAAAAAUGGUGCAGAAUAAGGGGUGGGCAAGUCUGGUGUCAGCCGCCGCGGUAAUACCAGCACCCCGAGUGGUCGGGACGUUUAUUGGGCCUAAAGCAUCCGUAGCCGGUUCUACAAGUCUUCCGUUAGAUCCACCUGCUUAACAGAUGGGCUGCGGAAGAUACUAUAGAGCUAGGAGGCGGGAGAGGCAAGCGGUACUCGAUGGGUAGGGGUAAAAUCCGUUGAUCCAUUGAAGACCACCAGUGGCGAAGGCGGCUUGCCAGAACGCGCUCGACGGUGAGGGAUGAAAGCUGGGGGAGCAAACCGGAUUAGAUACCCGGGUAGUCCCAG
rnacentral:rRNA from 1 species